GAUGAAGAAGGUAGCGAAAUGCGAUACUUGGUGUGAAUUGCAGAAUCCCGUGAACCAUCGAGUCUUUGAACGCAAGUUGCGCCCGAAGCCAUCAGGUUGAGGGCACGUCUGCCUGGGCGUCACAUAUCGUUGCCCAAUGCCUAUUGCAGUGCAAUAGGAAUUUCUAGGGCGAAUGAUGGCUUCCCGUGAGCGUUGUUGCCUCGCGGUUGGUUGAAAAUCGAGUCCUUGGUAGGGUGUGCCAUGGUAGAUGGUGGUCGAGUUAGAACGAUACCGAUCAUGUGCAUGCUCCCCAAAAUAUGGCCUCUAUGACCCACACGCGUCUUUUGACGCUCAUGACGAGACCUCAGGUCAGGCGGGGCUACCCGCUGAAUUUAAGCAUAUCAAUAAGCGGAGGA
rnacentral:misc_RNA from 1 species